CCCUCACUUGAGUCUCUUCUCCAGCUCCCAGGUUGGAGACCUCGCUGGCUGAGGCCCGUGACUUCCUCUUCUCUGAGAGUCACUUCUUUCAUCUUCUGACGGGAGUGGUGUGGGCACGUCGCAUCCUGGAGGCAACUCAACAAAUUGAUUUUGAAUAUCUCCCCCAUGUCCUCAAAUUCCUCUUAGAAGAAUUCAGUCCUGCUGCUGUAUAAAGUUUGGAAAGCUUAGACUCUCCAGGUGCAUUCUAAACUUACUUAGAACGGAAGAAGGUUCUUUAAAGAAAACUGUGGCCUUUAUUAUCAAAGAAAGAAGCUGAACUUUGGUGAAGACGGAGAAGCUAUUGAAAUAUUGGGGCUUAGACAAUUCUUGUGAAUUGCUCUGUCUACCCAGAUUUGAAACAGGCACCACUCUGGUUUGGUUGAUGCCGAGUUAUUGAUAUACUCCCAGGGUUCUGGCUGCCUGUGAUAGCCAUAAUUUCAGGAUCCUGUGAGCUAUGCAGCCAGGGUGAUGAACUCUCUUGCUGAUAACCUGAUAAUAAGCAUUUUGAUUUAUUGAUGAUUUUUAUGUAUCUUAUCUCUUGUACCCAAAUAUCAACUCUUUGUGAGUAAAUGUUAUUUGUUUUUAUUGCUUCUGAAUUUUCCACAGAACCUAGCAGCUUUCUAAGAGACUAUCAGGGAUUCAAUAAAUACCUGUUGACUGACAGCUGAUAACAUCCCUGCUUUGAGGUCUGGAAGCUAUGCAUGCAAAUGAGUUUUGAUGCGCUCUCUGCAACUCCCCUAAAAAUCAUACAUAAUGUUCAAGUCUCUUAUGAUUGAAGGUAUUUUAAAAUAGUGCAGUGUUCACCUUGCCGUUCACAGCCUUCAUGACAGACCUGUUAUCUGAGCAGGCAUCUGUGUUCAGGAUAUAUAACAAGAGAGUGGAGCACAGGAGUUAGAUUUUUGUUUCAACCUUGUAUUUAUUAUCCGUUUGAUGAACCAAGGGUGUAAAUAUCUACAGACUAUAGGCAGGUUCCAAAAUUCAACACUUUUAGGGAGGAAUUAAUAUCUGGUCUUAUUCAUUCUGGUAAUUUUCCAAGGAUAUUAAACUUGAAGCAGUCUCUCUGAAGUUAAGCUAAGUUAAGCCCUGAGAGGAAUUGAUAUGCAUGCGUUAGAGAGGUCAAGGUCUCUAUUGUGAAGCCUGCCUCUGUGUAAUGAAAAAUCAAAUUUGAAUAUUAAAAACAUUAAUUCAGUCUUGGCAGAAAACGGAACUCACUACUCAGCUGUGCUGUACUGCUCAUGUAUAGUGAUAAGAUUUGGUGAUGAGAAAUGUUCUGUAGCCUAACUAGGUGAGUCUUUGAUUGCUAAAUAGAGCCUUUUGAGAAGCAGCUCUUCUCUAACCACACUCUGUGUGUCUGCUCUGAUCCUGUCUAAAUAAAUAGUUUGGGUGCGUG